rnacentral:rRNA from 1 species
AGAGUUUGAUCCUGGCUCAGAGCGAACGCUGGCGGCGUGCCUAACACAUGCAAGUCGAACGUGAAAGGGAGCAAUCCUGAGUAAAGUGGCGUACGGGUGAGUAACGCGUAGGUAAUCUACCCCAAAGUUUGGAAUAACCUGCCGAAAGGCGGGCUAAUACUAGAUAGAGCGACGGAAUCCGUAAUUGGGUUUUUCGGGAAAGGGAGGAAGCAAUUCCCUUCGCUUUGGGAUGAGCCUGCGUCUCAUUAGCUAGUUGGUGGGGUAAAGGCCUACCAAGGCAUUGAUGGGUAGCUGGUCUGAGAGGAUGAUCAGCCACACUGGAACUGAAACACGGUCCAGACUCCUACGGGAGGCAGCAGUGGGGAAUCUUGCGCAAUGGACGAAAGUCUGACGCAGCCACGCCGCGUGAGUGAAGAAGGCCUUCGGGUUGUAAA